rnacentral:tRNA from 1 species
GGGCUCGUAGCGCAGAUCUCUAUUGCGAAGAAGAGACUCCUAAGCUGUAGGUCGCGGGUUCGAAUCCCGCCGAGCCCG